UACAGAGGUGGCAAGCGUUGUUCGGAAUUACUGGGCGUAAAGCGUGCGCAGGCGGUUUUGUAAGACAGAUGUGAAAUCCCCGGGCUCAACCUGGGAACUGCAUUUGUGACUGCAUCGCUGGAGUGCGGCAGAGGGGGAUGGGAUUCCGCGUGUAGCAGUGAAAUGCGUAGAUAUGCGGAGGAACACCGAUGGCGAAGGCAAUCCCCUGGGCCUGCACUGACGCUCAUGCACGAAAGCGUGGGGAGCAAACAGG
rnacentral:rRNA from 1 species